UAAAUCUUGAAUAUGGAGCACUUUCACUGUCUGCUCCUGGACAGCACCAGGGGGCGCUCUCACAUAUUCGGUGAUUUCCUUAGCCCCAAGGCCAUCACAGUGAGGCAGGAGAGUAGGGAGACUCACCCUGCUUUUGUGUAAAGCUUGCUCACAGGCCUCUGCCUUUCUUGUGGUGAACCUAGCAGUGGGGUCUGUGUCUCAGCUCCUGGCUCCGAGCACAGAGCUUGUAGCUGCGUGUCGUGGGCCAGGCCUCCGGUCCCUCUGAAGCCUCGCUGCUGCUCAGCAGGGCUGCAGCCUGAAAGGCCGUCCUCUUCUGGCAUUAUUUCCAUCAUCCGUCUUAAGACUAAGAACUUCCUGUUGCUCACCACGCUGGUUCCUGUCUUCACCUCAUCUUCCAUCUGAAGCAAAACACGAAGUUCCAAAUUCAUAUUUAAUUCCCUCCGCUUUCUCCUGUGCAUCUGGUACAAACCUGAAGCCCGGGUGGGGCCGCACUGGAUUAUAAACUGUAAACAGGGGGUGGAUAGAGAAGCACAGAAGGAAGAAGCUACCCUGAGCUUCCCUAAUGAGAGAAGACAUUUUUUGCUGCAGGUUUGAAAUGUGGCCUCAGGGACCACUAUUUGCUCGCUCAUCUCAAGAAUCAUCAGCGGCAGGCAGCUCCCUUUCUCCUGCAGUUCUGAGAUUCACCACUAAGAGGCGCUGCUGUCUCGAGUUCCACCGCAGAGAUACCAAACUGAAAGUUGGGGGGAAAAAAAUCAAUGAGGAUGACCCUGUGGCCUUUGAGGGCCUGCUGGUCUAUAAGAUGGGGAACAAAGGAGAAUCUACAGGAACAAGAUUUUCACAGUGUUUUAACAAGACGAAAGAGGUCACGCUGCUGUCUGAACCCACGUGCCACUUCUUAGCAGGAGUAACUGAGAACAAAUGUUUUUAGAGCAGUGUCCCUGGCAUCAGAAUAAAAGAAGCAGCUCCAUUUGGAUGUUCUGUGCA
ensembl:lncRNA